rnacentral:rRNA from 1 species
AGAGUUUGAUCCUGGCUCAGCCUGAACGCUGGCGGCGUGGCUAAGACAUGCAAGUCGUACGGUCCCGGGCAACCGGGACAGUGGCGAACGGGUGAGUAAUGAAUCGCUAACGUGCCCCGGACUCAGGGAUAGCUGGCCGAAAGGUCAGGUAAUACCUGAUGAUAUAUCCCUGCUGCAUGGCAGGGAUCUCAAAGGUCCGCCGGUCUGGGAGCGGGCGAUUUCGUAUCAGCUAGUUGGUGAGGUAACGGCUCACCAAGGCAACGACGCGUAGCCGGACUGAGAGGUUGGCCGGCCACAUUGGGACUGAGACACUGCCCAGACUCCUACGGGGGGCUGCAGUAACGAAUCUUCCGCAAUGCACGAAAGUGUGACGGAGCGACGCCGCGUGUAGGACGAAGCCCUUCGGGGUGUAAA